CCCGCAGGGCUCCGGGCGGCCGUGACCCUGCUGGAGUGCGGGGGGGACCUCCAGCCCCCCGGGGGGUCCCUGACUCUGCUCUGCCGCACAUCUGGGUUCAAUUUCAGGAGUUACAAUAUGAUGUGGAUCCGCCAGAGCCACGAGAAGACUCUGGAAUGGGUUGCAGAGAUCUACAGCAACAGGGGCUACACCGGCUACGCGCCAUCAGUGCGGGGCCGGUUCUCGAUCUCCAGGGACAACGGGCAGAGCUCGGUGACGCUGACCAUGAACAACCUCAAGGACGAGGAUUCCGCCGUUUAUUUCUGCGCCAAAUCUACUGGUAGUGGUACUGGUUGGGCUGGUGCUAAACACGUUCAUGGUUUUCACCCCAUCUGA